ensembl:lncRNA
CCUCUACACCCUGUGCAUCAUACUGAAGUUUGCAGAUGACACUGCAGUGAUCGGUCGCAUCACUGGUGGGGACGAGGCGGCUUAUAGGAGAGAGGUGGCCGGUCUGUCAUGGUGUGAGGACAACCUCACCCUCAACACUGAUAAAACAAAGGAGAUGAUAGUGGACAUGAGGAAGAAGAGGUAUGAUAUUGGUAUGAUCCGAGCUCAGACACUAAGCGACUGAGCGAGGGGGCGGGGCAGCUGCUGCCUGUGAGUGCGCUGUUGGAAAAACGGAGCCAGCCAUACUAAGGAGAGCUUAAGUUCGACCAGGUAACAAAGCAAAUCAUUCGUACCGUACAAAUAAUGUAAAUGUGACGGUGAAUCAUGAAAGAUUGAUAUCAAACUGAUCACUUGACCAAUAUUAUUUUACUUGCUCUUCAAGUGAAUCAACAAAUGGCGAAAUGAAAAGCCGAACAAAUGCUAUUUUUUUUUUUUUAGAGAGUCUUAGCUUACGUGUGUUUAUUUCAUAUUUUCAGUUCUUACCCUCCCCGACUAAAUCGGUUUCAGUUAUGUACUGAAAUAUAAGAAUGGACAUUAGAGGCUUCUUUCAAAGAAAAAACUCAGUUUGUUCCUUCAACCCUACCAAACUUGUGUGUGUGGACAGCAAAGGAAGAAUUUCAUCGCACAGAGAAAUUUCUUCUGUACAUGUCACACAGUGGAAAUUUGUAUUUAUCUUGUAUAUUGUUUUUGUUCUGAUUUUGGUGUUUGUUUGUGGGUGUCGUUUUGUUUGCAUGGUUUUUAGUGUUUUAUGUGACAUGGUUUU